ensembl:snRNA U6 U6 spliceosomal RNA
CAGCUCAUUUGCACAGCAUGUAUACUGAAAUAGGGACCAUACGGUGAAGUGUGGCAUGGCUCCCGUGCAAAGAGGGCAUGCAAAUUCAUGAAGUGUUCCAUGUUUUU